AGCGGGAACCCGAGCCGGAGCGGGAACCGGAGCCGAGCGGAGCCGAAUCGGGGAAUGCGGUCCCGGAACGGAGCGGCGCGCGAAGUGCGCGCCCGGGACGCUGGGGAAGGAGAGGAAAACAACUCAACCUUGAACAAGUGGCUGGACCGGUGCUGCGUAACCUGGAUCAUGUCACCACCCCUCAUGAUACAAUGA
rnacentral:lncRNA from 1 species